AUACUUGCCUGGCAGGGGAGAUACUGUGAUCACGAAGGUGGUUUUCCCAGGACAAGGCUUGUCCAUUGCACUCUAGAUGUGCUGACCCUUGUGAUUUCCCCAAAUUCAGGAAACUGGACUGCAUAAUUUGUGGUAGUGGGGGACUGCAUUCUUCCUCUCCUGAG